rnacentral:rRNA from 1 species
UACGAAGGGGGCUAGCGUUGCCCGGAAUCACUGGGCGUAAAGGGCGUGUAGGCGGGUAGGUAAGUCAGAUGUGAAAUCCCUGGGCUCAACCCAGGAACUGCAUUUGAAACUCCCUUUCUUGAGUGUCGGAGAGGAAAGUGGAAUUCCUGGUGUAGAGGUGAAAUUCGUAGAUAUCAGGAGGAACACCGGUGGCGAAGGCGGCUUUCUGGACGACAACUGACGCUGAGACGCGAAAGCGUGGGGAGCAAACAGG